AUGUACCAGCACAGCCCUACCGGCGAGUAUCGGCUAUUGCUCUACCUGUCCGUGGCCGUGAAGUGGAUGUACAGUGCACUGCCUGAAGUUCAAGAGGGCUCCUACGUCUUCACGAUAGGCUCCGGCCAGCCGCCCAGGCACAUAGGGUGCCCCGACGCGGAGGAACUGAUAUGCAUCCCCGGUUCUGUUCUGUUCCAUGGUGGCCUGCAUUGGUAUACAAACCACGUGAUAAAGAUAUUUGACACCACCGCCGAGUCAUUCCGGCAGAUGCGCUCUCCGUUUGUUCGUGGCCACGCUCGCCUGUUUGAGGUGGACAGCAUGCUUGGCAUGUCCACUUUUAAUGCUGAAGCGACACAUGUUUAUAUCUGGGUGGUGCAAGAGCAAGACUACAAAGAUGAGGUCUGGGCAUUGAAAUAUCGGGUUGAAUUGCCGGUUUCGGAGAUCAGGGUGCAAUUUGGAAUGUUUGAAAUUAAAUAUUGUCGUGUGAGGGCCGAGUCUUGUGAGCGUGAUGUGCUCGUGCUGCUCGAAUUUGAUGAUUGGCUACUUCAAGUCGACAUCAAUGGCAAGUUGGUUGCCGGAUUCCAUCGCAGAGGCCUCAUUCGUACUCAAGUCCGGCUCAAACAAACUCUAGUUUUGCACACUUUCUUUACGACACUAGAAGAUUAUGUUGUGAACACUUUGCCUUCCGUUUGA
rnacentral:rRNA from 1 species